ensembl:lncRNA
AUGACCACAAAAGUCUGGCAGGAUUUCAGCCCGGUCACUCCACCUGCUCCGUGGUUCAGGGUGAGGAGAGAGGCCAGGUCAGCCGUGCGCCAGUGGCUCGGCCGGGACAGAAAGAGAGGGCGACUGACAGCAGGUCACACCAAGGUGCAGGGAGCGUGCAGCGGCCGGAGCUGGGCCUGCUGAGCCUCCGCCUGUGCCCUCGCCCUUCCUCAGCCCACCCGAUACUGCGCCAGGAGACACCCGGGGUCACCUGGAAAAUGUAGACGCACGGGACGUGAAAGUUUUUUCCGUAAUACCCCAAAUCAGGCAGUAGCCCAGUUUACAAAAUUGUAUUGAAUAUGAUUCUAAAUGUACAAAAUUCUCAUUUAAGACUUCUUAGUAAAAGACACAAGAAACAUUUGUCAUUAGGAAAAUGCUUGUCCUUCCCUGCUGUAGUUGAAAAAAAAAAAAGGGUAAAGUAAUUUGGAGAAAAACACAAAAAGUAAAAUGCAUUUGUUUGUCAGAACAGCUAUUGGAAAAGGCACAGAAAACAUUGACUAUCUAAUGAAGCUGCAAUUAAGAGAAAUUAAACCGAGAGAGGUUUUCGUACAGCUGAAUGAGAGUACAGGUUUCUUUUUCAAAGAAAACAUGACGUAGCUAAUGGUGUUUGCUAGGUUUUGUUGCAGUAAGGAGGAACACACACCAGAUGGCUUUCUCUUGAGUCGUUGCAUGAAAGAUGUGUGGGGAAUGCACAUUCCGGGUAGUCUGUUACUUCUGUAAUAAGAAUACUGUCUGGGGGCCGACUGGCAUAGCAGGUUAAGCCACGCCCUGCCACUCUGGCAUCCCAUGUGGACAUCAUUCAGAGUCCCAGCUGCUCCACUUCUGAUCCAGCUCCCUGUUAGUGCACCUGGGAGAGUAGCAGAGGAUGGCCCAAGUGCUUGGACCCCUACAUCCAUAUGAGAGAAGUGCCUGGCUCCUGGCUUCAGCCUGGCACAGCCCUGGCUGUUGCAGCCAUUUGGGGAGUAAACUAGCAGAUGGAAGAUCGAUCGAUCACUUUCUCUCCUUCUCUCUCUCUCUAACUCUGCCUUUCAAAUAAGUAAAUGAAUCUUAAAUAUAAAUAUAAAUGUGUGUGUGUGUGUGUGUGUAUAAUCUUACAGAAAAGCUGGGCCAGUGAAGCUAAUGACGGAAUUGAAUUGAAUUUAGAGUUUGGACUCAUGGUGUAUAAGAAUUUAAUAGGGGCCGGCGCCAUGGCACAGUAGGUCAAUCCUCCACCUCCGUUGUCGGAAUCCUAUAUGGGCGCCAGUUCGAGUCCCGGCUGCUCCUCUUCCAAUCCAGCUCUCUGCUGUGGCCUGGGAAAGCAGUGGAAGAUGGGUCAGGUCCUUGGGCCCUGCAUCCAUGAGGAAGACCUGGAAGAAGCUCCUGGCUCCUGGCUUCAGAUCAGUACAGCUCUGUCAGUUGCAGCCAUUUAGGGAAUGAACCAGUGGAUGGAAGACCUCUCUCUCUGUCUCUCCCUCUGUCUGUAACUAUAUCUUUAAAUAAAUAAAUAACAAAUCUUUUUAAAAAAAGAAUU